rnacentral:rRNA from 1 species
AUGAGAAACAUAGGAAUGGGGUAUAUUUGCAUAGAUAUUUUUUGUGUUAAAUAUCUAUUCUUGACAAAUUUGUUUGGUUGUAUGGUUUGGAAGGUAGUAACUGGGAAAUUAAAUGGACUUGCUUACAUGCCAGCCUAUACGCCUGCAUACAUUUUAGCCAAUUUCAUAGAAGCGCAACACACAAGGCACUUUACUCAUGAAGGGACACUAGUGAGCUAUGAGGGCUGUCAUUUUAUAAGGGAAUACAUAUUUUAUGUUGUAAAUGUAAGCACCACUCGAAAGGAAGCUGAAUCCCUUCAUGGUUAA